AGUCCCUGGGCCUGGCAGGAGCGUGGCGUGGGGAGAACAGAGAGGAGAGGCCCUCUGCGCCUUGGUGGGAGGAAGAGGAAUCAUCCUUGUUGCUGACCCCCUGUGACGGUGCUGGCUGGACGGGGUGUGCAUCGUGCCAGGAGCUGGUCCCUCAUUCAUCCUCACAGCAGCCCUCCCGGGCUCGCCCGCCGUGACUUUCACUCCCAUUUCACAGACGAGGACCCUGAGGUCCAGGGAGGCUGAGUGGGCUGCCCUCCCCAGCUGGAGCCUGGAGGGGAUUUGAACUC
rnacentral:lncRNA from 1 species